UGGAGGGCAAGUCUGGUGCCAGCAGCCGCGGUAAUUCCAGCUCCAAUAGCGUAUAUUAAAGUUGUUGCAGUUAAAAAGCUCGUAGUUGAAUUUCGGGGUUCUACCGUUGGUCGGGCUUUGUCUGUACUGGUGUGUAGAAUUUCUACCUUCUGGGGAACCAUCAUGCUAUUAAUUUAGCGUGGUGGGAAACCAGGACCUUUACCUUGAAAAAAUUAGUGUGUUCAAAGCAGGCUUAUGUCUGAAUACAUUAGCGUGGAAUAAUAGAAUAGGACGGUGGUCCUGUUUUGUUGGUUUCUGAAUCACCGUAAUGAUUAAUAGGGAUAGUUGGGGGCAUUAGUAUUCAAUUGUCAGAGGUGAAAUUCUUGGAUUUAUUGAAGACUAACUUCUGCGAAAGCAUUUGCCAAGGAUGUUUUCAUUAAUCAAGAACGAAAGUUAGGGGAUCGAAGACGAUCAGAUACCGUCGUAGUCUUAACCAUAAACUAUGCCGACUAGGGAUCGGACGAUGUUAAUUUUUCUUGACUCGUUCGGCGCCUUACGGGAAAC
rnacentral:rRNA from 1 species